rnacentral:rRNA from 1 species
AGAGUUUGAUCAUGGCUCAGGAUGAACGCUGGCGGUCUGCUUAACACAUGCAAGUCGAACGAACUCUUCGGAGUGAGUGGCGGACGGGUGAGUAACGCGUGAGAAUCUACCUGUGGGUCGGGGACAACCACUGGAAACGGUGGCUAAUACCGGAUGAGCCGAAAGGUAAAAGAUUUAUUGCCCACAGAUGAGCUCGCGUCUGAUUAGCUAGUUGGUAAGGUAAAAGCGUACCAAGGCGACGAUCAGUAGCUGGUCUGAGAGGAUGAGCAGCCACACUGGGACUGAGACACGGCCCAGACUCCUACGGGAGGCAGCAGUGGGGAAUUUUCCGCAAUGGGCGAAAGCCUGACGGAGCAAGACCGCGUGGGGGAGGAAGGUUUUUGGAUCGUAAACCCCUUUUGUCAAGGAAGAAGCUCUGACGGUACUUGACGAAUAAGCCUCGGCUAACUCCGUGCCAGCAGCCGCGGUAAUACGGAGGAGGCAAGCGUUAUCCGGAAUGAUUGGGCGUAAAGCGUCUGUAGGUGGCCAGCUAAGUCUGCUGUUAAAGAUCACAGCUCAACUGUGGGAAGGCAGUGGAAACUGGCAAGCUAGAGGUUGGU